rnacentral:lncRNA from 1 species
UCUACAAAACAUUUAAAAAUUAGCUGGUCAUGUUGCUGUGCACCUGUGGUCCCAUCUACUUGGGAGGCUGAUUACUCCCCUGCCAUCGCUUGAGCCCCGGGAGUGGAGGCUGCAAUGAGCUAUGGUUACACCACAGGCUGAAAAAAACAUAAAUGCAUUCAAAUGCAGAUAUCAAAAUAUUAAAGAUGCAAUUUAUGACAUUAACAUGUGCUUCUUCACCCUCAGGUUUAUUAAGGUAUGAUUGACAAAAUUGUAUAUAUUUAUGGUGUACAGCAUGAUGUUUUGAUAUCUGUAUGUAUUGUGAAAUGACCAAGUCAAGCUAAUUUAAAUAUAAUUAUCUCACGUACUUAUUAUUAUUAUUUUGAGACAGAGUCUCGCUCUGUUGCCCAGACUGGAGUGCAGUGCCGCAAUCUUGGCUCACUACAACCUCCCCCUGCCGGGUUCAAGCAAUUCUCCUGCCACAGCCUCCUGAGUAGCUGGGAUUACAGGCAUGCGCCACCAUGCUAGGCUAAUUUUUGUAUUUUUAAUAGAGAUGGGGUUUCACCAUGUUGGUCAGGCUGGUCUCAAACUCCUGACCUUGUGAUCCGCCUGCCUCGGCCUCCCAAAGGGCUGGGAUUACAGGCAUGAGCCACCGCACCCGGCCUACUUUUUAAAAAAUUUUUAUUUUAGAUUCAAGUAGUACAUGUGUAUGUUUGUUACAUGGGAAUUAAAUGUGUAAUGGUGAGGACUGGGCUUCUAGUGUACACAUCACCAAAAUAUUGAACAUUGUACCCAGUAGGUAAUUUUUCACCCCUUCCUCCUCUCCCACUCUCCCUCCUUUGGAGUCCCCAGAGUCUAUUUGCCCCAUCUUUAUGUCCAUGUGUGCCAUUUGUUUAGCUUCCCCUUGUAAGUGAGAACAUGCACUAUUUGAUAUUCUGCUUCUGUGUUGGUUCACUUAGGAUAAUGGCCUUCAGCUGCAUCCAUGUUGCUGCAAAUGACAUUAUUUUGUUCUUUAUUGUGACUGUGUAGUAUUCCAUGGUGUAUCGCCACCACAUUUUCUUUAUCCAAUCAACUGUUGGUGGACACUUAGGUUGGUUCCAUGUCUUUGCUAUUGCACAUAAUGCUGUGACAAACAUAUGUGUGCAGGUGUCUUUUUUAUACAAUGAUUUCUUUUCCUUUGGAUAGAUAUACAGUAGUGGGAUAGCUAGAUUGAAUGGUAGUUCCCUUCUUAGUUCUUGGAGAUAUCUCCAUACUGUUUUUUUGUAGAGGUUGUACUAAUUUACAUCCUCACCAACAGUGAUAUACUUACCAUUUUUGUGUGGUGAGAACAUUUAAGAUCUACUCUCUUAGCAAUUUUCAAGUAUAUAAUACAUUAUCAAGCAUUAAACCUUUGUGUUACAAAUAUUCCCAUUAUACUCUUUUAGUUAUUUUUACUUAUACAAUUAAAUUAUUAUUAACUAUAGUCAGCAUGUUUUGCUAUCAAAUACUAGGUCUUAUUCAUUCAUUCAAGCUAUUUUAAUUGAGUUAUUUGUUUUCUUUCUAGUGAGUUGUUUGAGUUCCUUACAUAUUUUGGAUAUUAACCCCUUAUCAGAUAUACUGUUUGCAAAUAUUUUCUCCCAUUCUGUAGAUUGUCUCUCUUUGUUGAUUAUUUCCUUUGCUGUGCAGAAGCUUUUUAGUUUAGUGCAAUUCUAUUUGUCUAGUUUUGCUUAUGCUUUUGGGGUCAUAUCCAAAAAUUUAUUGUCUAGACCAAUGUCAAGAAGCUUUUAAAUUAUGUUUUCUUCUAGUAGUUUUGCAGUUUCAGGCCUUAUGUUUAAGUAUUUAAUCCAUUUUGAGUUUUUUUUAAUAUAGUAUAAGAUAAGGGUCCAGUUUCAUUCUUCUGCAUGUGGAUAUCCAGUUUUCCCAACACCAUUAAUUUUUUUAACUUACUUUCUUUCUUUCUUUCUUUCUUUCUUUCUUUCUUUUCUUCUUUCUUCUUUCCUUCUUUCCCUUUUUUAUGAAUAGAGAUGGGGUCUCACUAUAUUGCCAAGGCUGGUCUCAAACUCCUGGGCUCAAGUAAUCCACCUGCCUCGGGCUCCCAAAGUGCUGGGAUUACAGGCAUGAGCACCAUGCCUGGCCCCCAAAAUCAUUUAUUGAAGAGACUGCUGUUUCCCCAUUGGUACCUUUGUUAAAUAUCAAUUGACCAUAAAUGUGUAGAUUUAUUUCUGGACUCUUAUUCUGUUUCCUUAGUCUAUAUGUCUUUUUUAUGCCAUUACCAUGCUGUUUUGGUUACUAUCUCUCUGCAGUAUAAUUUGAAAUCGGGUAACAUAAUUCCUCCAGUUUUGUUCUUUUUGUUCAGGAUGGCUUUGGCUAUUCUGUGCCUUUUGUGGUUCCAUGUGUAUGUUAGUAUUUUUUAUUAUUAUUGCUGUGAAAAAUGUCCUUGGAAUUUUGAUAGGGAUUGUAUUGGCUCUAUAGAUCACUUUGGGUAGCAUGGACAUUUUAACAAUAUUGUGUGUUCUUUUUUAUUAACCUAGCAAAUAGCACGAUCUAGAGCAGGUCUAUAAUCAUCACAAUUUUUAAAUAGUGAUGAGCAUAACUGAUCUUAUGAGAUAUUUGCAACAGCUAUAAUGUGAUAUGAAAAUAUUUUUGAUAUAUGUUGGUGAGAAAGUUGCAGACACUGAUAAUAAGACUAUAAUUUGUUGACUACAUUCAAUUAGAAAUGAAUAAAAAUAAAGGUUUAAUUUUUCCCAUCAAAGUCCAAAGAGCACCCCUAAAUUCUAUUCACAGAACCUCAGGGGAGGAAAUCUUGUACCAGAGAGUCCAUUAAUUAGUAUAAAGGAUGUAAGAAAUAAUAUUUCAUUGGUGAAAUGAAUUCUGUUAAAAAUAUGUGCAAUGGCUAGAAAUUUUGUCCAUGUAUGAAGGUACAUGCUUGCAUGAAUAAAAGAUAAAAAUCUGGCAAGCCAGCCCAACAGUUCAGCAUGUUCUGGAAUGGCAUCUAGGCCUCAGACUUUGUGUGAUCCUAUAAAGAGCCAGCUUGCCAGAUGUCCCUAGUGAUAAUAAAUGUUAUUUUCAGCCACUACAUGUUGGGGGUAAUUUGUAACACAGCAAUAAAUAAAUAAAAUAAAUAAAUAGUAUCACGUAAUAGAAGAUUUUCCUGUUCCAACCAGAAGAUAGGUUGAUCCUGUUACCAUAAUAUUAGGCCAACUAUUUCAUGUGGAUUUUUUAUGUAAAGGACUUGCUGGAGUUCCUAAAGAUCAGAGC